GAUGAACGCUAGCUACAGGCUUAACACAUGCAAGUCGCGGGGCAGCAUGGGGGUUGCUUGCAAUCCCCGAUGGCGACCGGCGCACGGGUGAGUAACGCGUAUCCAACCUGCCCUUCACCACGGGAUAACCCGGCGAAAGUCGGACUAAUACCGUAUGUUGUCCAUUGACGGCAUCCGAUUUGGACGAAAGGCUUGGCGGUGAGGGAUGGGGAUGCGUCCGAUUAGCCAGACGGCGGGGUAACGGCCCACCGUGGCUACGAUCGGUAGGGGUUCUGAGAGGAAGGUCCCCCACACUGGAACUGAGCCACGGUCCAGACUCCUACGGGAGGCAGCAGUGAGGAAUAUUGGUCAAUGGGCGUAAGCCUGAACCAGCCAAGUAGCGUGCAGGAUGACGGCCCUAUGGGUUGUAAACUGCUUUUAUGCGGGGAUAAAGUGGCCCACGUGUGGGCUUUUGCAGGUACCGCAUGAAUAAGGACCGGCUAAUUCCGUG
rnacentral:rRNA from 1 species